rnacentral:rRNA from 1 species
UACGGAGGGUGCGAGCGUUGUCCGGAAUCAUUGGGCGUAAAGGGCGCGUAGGUGGCCCGGUCAGUUCGUGGUGAAAGCGCGGGGCUCAACCCUGCGUCGGCCAUGAAUACUGCCGCGGCUGGAGCACUGUAGAGGCAGGCGGAAUUCCUGGUGUAGCGGUGAAAUGCGCAGAUAUCAGGAGGAACACCGGUGGCGAAGGCGGUUCUCUGGGCAUGUCCUGACGCUGAGGAGCGAAAGUGUGGGGAGCGAACAGG